GUGGGGAAUAUUGGACAAUGGGCGCAAGCCUGAUCCAGCAAUGCCGCGUGGGUGAAGAAGGCCUUCGGGUUGUAAAGCCCUUUUGUACGGAAAGAAAUCCUGGUGGUUAAUACCCGCCGGGGAUGACGGUACCGUAAGAAUAAGCACCGGCUAACUUCGUGCCAGCAGCCGCGGUAAUACGAAGGGUGCAAGCGUUAAUCGGAAUUACUGGGCGUAAAGCGUGCGUAGGUGGUUUCUUAAGUCUGUCGUGAAAGCCCUGGGCUCAACCUGGGAAUGGCAUUGGAUACUGGCGGGCUAGAGUGCGGUAGAGGAUAGUGGAAUUCCUGGUGUAGCAGUGAAAUGCGUAGAGAUCAGGAGGAACAUCCGUGGCGAAGGCGACUGUCUGGACCAGCACUGACACUGAGGCACGAAAGCGUGGGGAGCAAACAGGAUUAGAAACCCCUGUAGUCC
rnacentral:rRNA from 1 species